rnacentral:rRNA from 2 species
AACUCUGGUAUUGAUUGGUGCUUGCAUCAUGAUUUACAUUUGAGUGAGUGGCGAACUGGUGAGUAACACGUGGGAAACCUGCCCAGAAGCGGGGGAUAACACCUGGAAACAGAUGCUAAUACCGCAUAACAACUUGGACCGCAUGGUCCGAGUUUGAAAGAUGGCUUCGGCUAUCACUUUUGGAUGGUCCCGCGGCGUAUUAGCUAGAUGGUGGGGUAACGGCUCACCAUGGCAAUGAUACGUAGCCGACCUGAGAGGGUAAUCGGCCACAUUGGGACUGAGACACGGCCCAAACUCCUACGGGAGGCAGCAGUAGGGAAUCUUCCACAAUGGACGAAAGUCUGAUGGAGCAACGCCGCGUGAGUGAAGAAGGGUUUCGGCUCGUAAAACUCUGUUGUUAAAGAAGAACAUAUCUGAGAGUAACUGUUCAGGUAUUGACGGUAUUUAACCAGAAAGCCACGGCUAACUACGUGCCAGCAGCCGCGGUAAUACGUAGGUGGCAAGCGUUGUCCGGAUUUAUUGGGCGUAAAGCGAGCGCAGGCGGUUUUUUAAGUCUGAUGUGAAAGCCUUCGGCUCAACCGAAGAAGUGCAUCGGAAACUGGGAAACUUGAGUGCAGAAGAGGACAGUGGAACUCCAUGUGUAGCGGUGAAAUGCGUAGAUAUAUGGAAGAACACCAGUGGCGAAGGCGGCUGUCUGGUCUGUAACUGACGCUGAGGCUCGAAAGUAUGGGUAGCAAACAGGAUUAGAUACCCUGGUAGUCCAUACCGUAAACGAUGAAUGCUAAGUGUUGGAGGGUUUCCGCCCUUCAGUGCUGCAGCUAACGCAUUAAGCAUUCCGCCUGGGGAGUACGGCCGCAAGGCUGAAACUCAAAGGAAUUGACGGGGGCCCGCACAAGCGGUGGAGCAUGUGGUUUAAUUCGAAGCUACGCGAAGAACCUUACCAGGUCUUGACAUACUAUGCAAAUCUAAGAGAUUAGACGUUCCCUUCGGGGACAUGGAUACAGGUGGUGCAUGGUUGUCGUCAGCUCGUGUCGUGAGAUGUUGGGUUAAGUCCCGCAACGAGCGCAACCCUUAUUAUCAGUUGCCAGCAUUAAGUUGGGCACUCUGGUGAGACUGCCGGUGACAAACCGGAGGAAGGUGGGGAUGACGUCAAAUCAUCAUGCCCCUUAUGACCUGGGCUACACACGUGCUACAAUGGAUGGUACAACGAGUUGCGAACUCGCGAGAGUAAGCUAAUCUCUUAAAGCCAUUCUCAGUUCGGAUUGUAGGCUGCAACUCGCCUACAUGAAGUCGGAAUCGCUAGUAAUCGCGGAUCAGCAUGCCGCGGUGAAUACGUUCCCGGGCCUUGUACACACCGCCCGUCACACCAUGAGAGUUUGU